AAGAGAGAUGGAGACGGUGGCGGGUAUGGUGGUUUCGAAUAACCUGCAGAAGUGGGUGGUGGUGGCUGGCGGUGGACACUGCAACAUCCAUCGAUAACCACCUCAACUGAAUCACCGCAACAUGCAUCGGCUUGGGCGACCACCGAGUAUGCCUGCAAGGCAACAAAUUGAUGUUUUGGCUGUAAUUGUAUCUGAAAUUAGAUUGGAUACGAUGCACUUCUCUUGGAAAUUCGUUAAAGAUGUCUGCUCCCAUUAAGACUUGGCGCGCGUGUGUAUAAUUGUAUUGCUUCUCAUAGCUGGACGGAAUAGGUGAAGCUUUUACACAGGGCAUCUGAGAGGCUGACAUGACGUUAGGCUUAGCGAGAGCAAUUUCUUGUAAUUUCUUCAAAAUACGUUGCUUGUAUGGCCAAAUGCACUUUUUAUACUUUAAAACCUAAUUAGGAGAGAUUUAUAUGUCCAAUUCUCUACUGAAUUUUCUCAUCAGAUACUUUGAAUAAAGCCUAUAGUUUCAGUGUUUCAUUA
rnacentral:sRNA from 1 species